UACAUGAAGCUGGAAUCGCUAGUAAUCGCGGAUCAGAAUGCCGCGGUGAAUACGUUCCCGGGUCUUGUACACACCGCCCGUCACACCAUGGGAGUCGGAAAUGCCCGAAGUCUGUGACCCAACCUUAGGGAGGGAGCAGCCGAAGGCAGGUCGGAUGACUGGGGUGAAGUCGUAACAAGGUACC
rnacentral:rRNA from 1 species